rnacentral:lncRNA from 1 species
CGGUUGUAUUUUUCGUCUUAUAACUAAUGUACCGGAUUGUGUUUCAGGCAAUACUAAGACUACUACCAGACUUAAAGUCAGAGAUUGAUUCAUUAAUAAGUUCACCAUUAACUAAUGUCAAUGUUAUGAGAGAUAUCAUACAGCUUGAGAAAAGUUUGGAAACAACCAACCAGCAUAUGCUUACAAUGAACAAGAAAUUGGCGACG